rnacentral:rRNA from 1 species
UUGAACGCUGGCGGCAUGCUUUACACAUGCAAGUCGAACGAGAUCUUCGGAUCUAGUGGCGCACGGGUGCGUAACGCGUGGGAAUCUACCCUUGGGUUCGGAAUAACUUCGGGAAACUGAAGCUAAUACCGGAUGAUAUCGAAAGAUCAAAGAUUUAUCGCCCAGGGAUGAGCCCGCGUAGGAUUAGCUAGUUGGUGGGGUAAAGGCUCACCAAGGCUACGACCCUUAGCUGGUCUGAGAGGAUGAUCAGCCACACUGGGACUGAGACACGGCCCAGACUCCUACGGGAGGCAGCAGUAGGGAAUAUUGGACAAUGGGGGCAACCCUGAUCCAGCAAUGCCGCGUGAGUGAUGAAGGCCUUAGGGUUGUAAAGCUCUUUUACCCGAGAUGAUAAUGACAGUAUCGGGAGAAUAAGCUCCGGCUAACUCCGU